rnacentral:lncRNA from 1 species
AUCCAAUUUGAUAAUAAUCCAAUUUAAUGAAUAAUCCACCAAUUUGAUAAAAAAAAAAAUCCUAAUAUAAAACAUGGUGAUGAAUAAUAAUCCAAUUUGAUAAUAAUAAUCCAAUUUGAUAAUAAUCCAAUUUAAUGAAUAAUCCACCAAUUUGAUAAAAAAAAUAAUCCUAAUAUAAAACAUGGUGAUGAAUAAUAAUCCAAUUUGAUAAUAAUCCAAUUUAAUGAAUAAUCCACCACUUUGAUAAAAAAAAUUAUCCUAAAUUAAAACAUGGUGAUGAAUAAUAAUCCAAUUUGAUAAUAAUCCAAUUUAAUGAAUAAUCCACCAAUUUGAUAAAAAAAAAUAUCCGAAUAUAAAACAUGGUGAUGAAUAAUAAUCCAAUUUGAUAAUAAUCCAAUUUAAUGAAUAAUCCACCACUUUGAUAAAAAAAUAAUCCUAAUAUAAAACAUGGUGAUGAAUAAUAAUCCAAUUUGAUAAUAAUCCAAUUUAAUGAAUAAUCCACCAAUUUGAUAAAAAAAUUAUCCUAAUAUAAAACAUGGUGAUGAAUAAUAAUCCAAUUUGAUAAUAAUCCAAUUUAAUGAAUAAUCCACCACUUUGAUAAAAAAAAUAAUCCUAAUAUAAAACAUGGUGAUGAAUAAUAAUCCAAUUUGAUAAUAAUCCAAUUUA